GAAGUUAGAACGAACCAGAUUGUAGGACAGGAAAGGUGAAGAUCCGGGUAGAAGAAGUUCCAGAUCUCCAUAUUGCAUUGUGAGUAUGCACUUCGAAGAAACUGCAGAGACGCAGAUUACUUCGCAGCAGGUCUAGGACCUGUCCAUAACUUGUCCAUGCCUGUCUGGCCCGGGCAGAGCCAUGCAAUAUCUCAGAAUUAGGUAUUAUGCGAUAUGGUUAAAUUAGUAAGGAGUUAUAAGAGCACGAGGCGUACUGUUCGAAAUUCGGGAAGCUAAUGGCGUCGUAGCUUCGAGACGCUUCGAGACGCUUCGAGACUCCCAGCAUGCAUUGCUGGUGGGGCUCGCCGCAUGGUGGCGUUCCAGUCGAACUCGUUUAACUUUUACCUAACCGCCUCUUUCGCGCGUUCCACCGUGUUGUAAAAAGCUGAACGAACGCAAUAAAAACGAUCGCAACUGCUUCAGAUGGAAUAAUCUCGAAGCUUAGAACGCAGAUCGUCGACAUUGAAAAAACCAAUCAAUCGCAAAAAUGAUGGGGUUAUCUGACGAAUCCGGAGAAAUUCACUCAUAUUCACCAAUCCCUACACGGUGCCGGAGGAUGGAGAGGUAAUUACAACCAUCGAGCCAGAUUAUUGUGAGUAUUAUUAUUACCAUUUUUUCUCUCAUAAACCGCAAGUUUUUAAUACCUCGCCCAACGAAGAGAGUUCGCUGUCCGCUACGGGUGAGAGAAAAAUAAUAUUUUUGAAACAAAAUCUUGUAUCCCACAAGUUUUUUGCAAAUGCAAAAAUAUAAUAAAGUAAAUUCAUUGCAUACGAGCGUUAGUGCAGUAAAGGAAGGCAAAAUAUGCGUUCUCCGAGGGUGUCGUUCUCAAAGAAUAAUAAUAGCAGUAAAAAAAAAAUAAUCAAAAAAUCGGAGGACAUCAAAAGCACCGCAAUAUUUUCAUCGCAUUAACGGGGUAAAGUAUUAGCCAAUAAUGUCGGCGCCUAUAGUGGCGUGUCCAACGUCGACUUACCCAGCUGUUGCUGUAAAAGCAACACCUUGUUCACCUCAGCUCAUAUCCCUACACAACUCGUUUAAGGUAGAAGAUAGGGAAGAGAAUUAUGAAUGCGAAGGAGAACCUCAAACAAAAAUAAACAAACUGAAGACCAAAAAAAUAAAGAAGACUCGUUUACUUUGGAUAAUUUGCAUACCAUAUCUUGCAGCCAACGAGGAACGUAUGCAUAUAACUAGGUAUAAUUCAACCGGCUAAUUAAACAGGUACCGAACGUAUUUUAAUUACGACAUGGCAAGGAUCUACAAUAUUAUUACUCGAGGUGCCGGCGUGCGACUUUCCAACCACACAGGGCUCAUCUUCUUCGUCAUCAUCAUCGUAUCUCUACCAAUUGAAUUACCCUCAGUACACGGCAGGAAGUGCGUGUGCACAAGCAAGUCAUGCCUGGAGGCAGGCACGGACACCCGCAGGACGCGUUUCUCCUGUUACACAGAACUCAUCCUGAUCGACGAGGGACAAGGGAACACUACAACCCGGGGCUGCGCCGAGUAAAAAAUUUUUUCCUCCCGCUCUUUUACUUUCUUUUUUUUUUAUGUAUAUAUAAUUUAUUUAUUUAUUUUUUGCGAUAUUUCGCGCCCGUUAAGCCAGCAAUGCAACGUAUGUACCGGUGUAAGUCCAAUUUACUUGUAAUAUGUAUAAAGUAGGAAAUUAUGAGGAUCUUGAGGAAAAUGGGUAAUAUGAACGACAGUAAUAACAACGAUAAAUGAAAAUAAGAUCUGCCUGUGGAUACACAGUUCUGCCUGUGGAUUUGGUUGACAAUGCAUAGUUAUAGGUAUACAAGUAGGUAUACGUAACGUAUACAAUCACUGUGCAGGAGGAUCGAGUUCACCGAACUCAAUACGUAUACGCUAUACAUCUAUAUAAAGUAACUAACUAAGAGAAUCCAUGAACGUAUAUAUUUAUUUGUAUGUAUGUACGUAAGACUUAUUAUAUAUAUAAAUACCUACAUACCUAUGUACGUGCGUAAAACGCGGUAUACAAAAGAUGCGGCUAAGAAA